rnacentral:lncRNA from 1 species
CUGCACACUGAAUCACACCACUGCCUCACUGCAUACUGAACCACACCUCACUGCAUACUGAAUCACACCACUGGCUCACUGCAUACUGAAUCACACCACUGCCUCACUGCAUACUGAACCACACCUCACUGCAUACUGAAUCACACCACUGGCUCACUGCAUACUGAACCACACCUCACUGCAUACUGAAUCACACCACUGGCUCACUGCAUACUGAAUCACACCACUGCCUCACUGCAUACUGAACCACACCUCACUGCAUACUGAAUCACACCACUGGCUCACUGCAUACUGAACCACACCACUGCCUCACUGCAUACUGAAUCACACUGGGGACAUUUUAGUCCUUUUGGGAUGAUGUAUUCUAUCAAUGAGGCCCAAGGAGUUAUCAGUUUGUUUAUUGAUUUGCUCUCUAGAUUGUGGAAACAUAACUCCAGUUCCAUCGUAGUUUAUUAGUGGUGAUUACUGAUUAAUGAGCUGUUAUUAUUAGCAGAGUAAUGAUGAUUAUGAUAGGUAGGUGUUUGUUCUGCGCCCUGUUGAAGGUGCCAUCUGUACACAAAGCUCGCAACCCAUAUGGCACCCUAUUCCCUUUAUAGUGCACUACUUUUUGAACAAGGGGGCAUAGGGCUUUGGUCAACAGUUGUGCACUAUAUACAGAAUAGUGUGUCGCCUGCAUACAAAUAGAGACAUUAAGGGGAACUACUAGGUAGUCAUUUGAUUGAUAUUUCGUCCUUGAUUUAUCCAGUUAACGGUUCAUGUAACUCUUCUCAUUGUGAGUUAUGGAAAUGGUCAUUCCAUAGAAGGCUGGUAUUGUUUUGGGCUGUUUCAGGGAUAGGAGGCAGGUAGGAAAGAGAGGAGGCAGGUAGGAAGGAGAGGAGGCAGGUAGGAAGGAGAAGAGGCAGGUAUGAGGUGUAUAGCAUGCAUGAGAGAGAGAGAGAGAGAGAGAGAGAGAGAGAGAGAGAGAGAGAGAGAGAGAGAGAGAGAGAGAGAGAGAGAGAGAGAGAGAUGAACCGACAGAGAAAGAGAGGGAUGGUAGUAGUCUGGUAAUGGGUGAACAGGUGUGUGUGUGUGAACACAGCUGGAAUGGGGGAGUGAUGGGGGUGAGAGAGAACCAUGGGUAAUUAUUUGUAAUGCACCUGCCACACUUAAAAUGCUGCCACAAACACCGUUCCAAUCCAGGCUGGGGAAAAAAAAUAUUUUGGGGUUUUUGGUUUAUACUGUGGAAAACACAACUGUAUUCUACAUUGGUUCAGUUCUGUCAAAUCAAAUGCCCCAUUUCCCUGAAGGUUUUCUUUAAGACACAAACAGGGGUUACGUUCCAAAUAGCACCCUAUUCCCUACAUAAUGCACUACUUUAGACCAGAACUCUAUGGGCCCUGGUUAAAAGUAGUGCACUGUAAAUGGAACUGUCCCAGAGACUGGCCACAGAGAGACUGUGAAAGCAGAGGAGGGUUGGAAGCACAUUAAAGUUGUUGAGAAAUCGGGUUGUGUAUGAUAGACGGACAAGAGGUUCCAUUCACUGCUAUGGCAAACACACACACACACACACACACACACACACACACACACACACACACACACACACACACACACACACACACACACACACACACACACACACACACACACACAGUCUGGCCUAUUGACUGCUAUAGCAACACUGUAUGAGAGUUACAUGACAAUUUAAUGACCUAGCUAUGUCAUAGUUGAAUAACUUACUAUGUCACUAUAUCAGAAGUCUGAAACAGGCACUGCAUCGCCACUAGAGACUCUGGGUUACAGUCCAGGCUUAGUCGGAGCCAGCUGCGACCGGGAGACCCAUGGGGAGGCACACAACUGGC